GACGAACGCUGGCGGCGUGCUUAACACAUGCAAGUCGAACGGAAAGGCCCUGCUUUUGUGGGGUGCUCGAGUGGCGAACGGGUGAGUAACACGUGAGUAACCUGCCCUUGACUUUGGGAUAACUUCAGGAAACUGGGGCUAAUACCGGAUAGGAGCUCCUGCUGCAUGGUGGGGGUUGGAAAGUUUCGGCGGUUGGGGAUGGACUCGCGGCUUAUCAGCUUGUUGGUGGGGUAGUGGCUUACCAAGGCUUUGACGGGUAGCCGGCCUGAGAGGGUGACCGGCCACAUUGGGACUGAGAUACGGCCCAGACUCCUGCGGGAGGCAGCAGUGGGGAAUAUUGCACAAUGGGCGGAAGCCUGAUGCAGCAACGCCGCGUGCUGGAUGACGGCCUUCGGGUUGUAAACCGCUUUCGCCUGUGACGAAGCGUGAGUGACGGUAAUGGGUAAAGAAGCACCGGCUAACUACGUG
rnacentral:rRNA from 1 species